AAAUGAUCAGCAUUGUCUGUUUUAGUAGCCACGACAAGUAGCUGCUACUAGUAGCUCUGUGUGUCUUCACCCUAAAAAUGCAAUGAGCAAAGCACCCUUAGUGCCAUAGAUUACGUAUUGUGUUGCUGCUUGUAAAUUGUGACAGCCCUUGUGUAGAGCAUUGGAAGGGGUGGGGUUUAGCAGUGAAGAGGGAGGGAUUCAAUUAGAUUGGGGUGGCAUUAACUGUAACUGUAAUGGAGGCCUGGCUUAUGAGAAUGUUUAGUGGUACAGUCUAGGGCAUAAUAGGGCACAUGUAAGUCCCAGCAUUCCCCAAGGGCCACUGGUGCACUGUGGGGCGAUGGAUGCUGUAGUGCAGUGACAUCUGGAGUUGUACAUUCCAACCAUAGAGUCCUAGUGCCAGUAUAAUAACACCACUAAUAGGCGCGGGAAGGGCCAUCCCAUUAUAAGAUGGCCAACUCGUGGCUCUCCAGUAAUGCCUGAACCACAGGGCAUGCUGGGGGCUGUAGUUCAGCGCUAGCCAGAAGGCUGGCUAAUACUCCAUCUAACCUGAUAUAACCACACACUGCAUCUCUUCACCUUUUGUGUUACUUUAACCCCCUGUUUAUGUUAUGGUUUGGCUUUUAUUUGAAUCAUUCAGAAUUUUAAGCAUGUUUUCCAUUUUCAUGAUUUUGCUUUUUAUUUCUUUAUUAUUCUCUGACCCCCACCCACCCCGCCCACCCCAUUUCUUUGCUUCACUCCCUUCCUCCCAUGCUCCAUUCACUGCUGCUGCUGGGCACCAUAGAUUCCAGUCUCCCAGCCCACUGACAUGGAUGAUAUAGAGGAGUGGCUCAGUAAAGACGUGAAGGGAGAUGAACUGGAGGAAGGAGUGACGAGCGAAGAAUUUGACAAGUUUUUAGAAGAGCGAGCCAAAGCCGCAGAAAGGGUGCCAGAUCUGCCAUCCCCCCCCACUGGAGAGCCGGCUCCGCCCACGAAUCCCGCCGGAAGGAAGAAGCAGGAUCGCUCCGAGGACACGCUCUUUGCUCUGUAAAUAGGCCCCUGCCUCUCUGUACAGCAUUCAUCACAUUCCCCCGGCCACCAUGCACUGCCGCCACCAGUCCCCGGCCCAUACUAGUCUGAUCCAUUCCCACCCCUAAACAGUGAUAGGAACGGGCAUUAACUGGGCUACGAGGGUCUCUCUAUUAUACUACAGUCAUAACGACUUACCUGCUGCUCUCCUGUUAGGCUGCCUGUGUUUAUUGGCCCAGUAAGCAACGUCUGCUUCAUUCCUUUAGCUAAAAACAUCUUUACUAAUAAGCUAAAUGCAAGCCCUGCAAUUAAUGGGUAAGUUGCGCCUGAUAUUAUGGUGACCACUGUCGCUCAGGUUUGAUAGGAAAAUGACUAAACGCUGGAGUCUGGAUAAAGGCCCACAGGCUUCCCAUGCAGCCAAUAAAUACCCAGAAUUCCCA